rnacentral:rRNA from 1 species
CGGCGGACGGGUGAGUAACACGUGAGUAACCUGCCUUUACACAGGGAUAGCCUCGGGAAACCGGGAUUAAAACCUGAUGAAACUAUCAAAUCACAUGAUUAAGAAAGUUAAAACUCCGGUGGUAAAAGAUGGACUCGCGUCCCAUUAGCUAGUUGGUGAAGGUAACGGCCCACCAAGGCAACGAUGGGUAGCCGGCCUGAGAGGGUGAACGGCCACAUUGGAACUGAGAAACGGUCCAAACUCCUACGGGAGGCAGCAGGC